rnacentral:rRNA from 1 species
CGAACGCUGGCGGCGUGCCUAAUACAUGCAAGUCGAACGCUUCUUUCCUCCCGAGUGCUUGCACUCAAUUGGAAAGAGGAGUGGCGGACGGGUGAGUAACACGUGGGUAACCUACCCAUCAGAGGGGGAUAACACUUGGAAACAGGUGCUAAUACCGCAUAACAGUUUAUGCCGCAUGGCAUAAGAGUGAAAGGCGCUUUCGGGUGUCGUUGAUGGAUGGACCCGCGGUGCAUUAGCUAGUUGGUGAGGUAACGGCUCACCAAGGCCACGAUGCAUAGCCGACCUGAGAGGGUGAUCGGCCACACUGGGACUGAGACACGGCCCAGACUCCUACGGGAGGCAGCAGUAGGGAAUCUUCGGCAAUGGACGAAAGUCUGACCGAGCAACGCCGCGUGAGUGAAGAAGGUUUUCGGAUCGUAA